rnacentral:lncRNA from 1 species
AAAAUAUAGGAUUCGAAGCAAAAAUUGAUGAAGUUAUACCUACCGGAGAUCUUGAAGAAAAUUCUAGAGAGUCGGAAACUCUUCCUGAUUUUGGCGGGAACUCACCGGAGAGAACCGAAUCAACCGACAAGCAUCACACCACGAUAAUCUACAACAUCAUACAGUAUAACAUAUCGAUUUUCAUCAAUGGAGAAAAAACAGAGCAUACGAAAACAGAUAAACUUGUCAGUGUGCAAGUACCUGAAACUCCCGGCGAAGAGAAUCAAAAGGUUUCCGAUGAACUUCCGGCUGAUGCUAAGGACAACAAAUCCACCGAACAAUUGGAUACCAGUAGCUUAACCGACACGCAGGAGGAUCCCGAGAGAGAACAUGAUGAAAUUCCGGCAUGCAGUAGGUCAAACUCCAUGGAUUUUGAAUCCGAUAAACAUUCAGAAAUCGAGGAAGAACCUGAAAAACCUGCAACUUCCGGCGAGGAGCUGUUGGAUUCCAUCGAUGAAGAACCUACAAGCAAAUCAGAUGAGAAACCUGUAAUUUCCAGCGAGGAGCUACCGGAUUCCUCCAUGAAUCUCAACGAAUCAACGCGACGCAAAAAAACCGACAAAGAGAUUGAGGAUUCAGGGGAAUACAACCUACGGGGACCAAAUUUCCUACCGGAAGUAGCAGAUCCAGAUGCAG